UAGAGAGGAGGGGAGAGGCUUCAGGAAAUGACAUUCUAACCACCUAAUCUUCCCUAUAAGCCUACCUAGCAAGUAAUCUCCACAUGGAAACCCAUUGUAAGCUGUUGGUAUUCGCCCAUGUAAUGGACAUCUGCCCGUUGCUUCCUGUGAGUUAAUUGUUAAGUGCGGCACAAUUUAUAAGGUAAACAAUCAAUGGCUGUUGCUACCACUUGAGGUAGAAGAAAAAUAGUGUGAUAGGUAAGGUGAGACCAAUGGACCAGACAAACAUGCAAAAAGACUUUCUCGCCAGCAAGUCAGGAACUCUUUUUCAAGUCGAUAACAUAAUCCAUAUCCAGUCGGGAUGAUGAUAAGACUACCUUGCUAGACUGGCUUUUAAUAAAAUUAUGUCUUCAAAAACAUAAGUUAUGAUAUUGAAACUUACUGUUCCAGUUGAAACAACUCAACCAAGAUAAUAAAGCAACACUACAGAAAAUACCAAAAUUAUCCAAGAAGAACUGGAAGGAACUAAAGAGAGUUGAUGCUGACAACUCUGGAUAGCUACUAAGUUACUCACCACAGUUUUAACAAGUUUUUAUUGCAAUCGAGUGGUUGUCACCUGGAUCAUCUGGAUCCCCCAGUAAUCCAGCCAAUAGACAAAGGCAGGUUGUCAUCAUAGCCAUCAAUUUGUGAUCCCAGCUCAUAAUAACAGUGUAUUUAACAGCAUUAUUUUACCAUUUUUGAAUAGUGUAUAUAUAGUAGAGAAAGUUUGUGAAAUAUUUUAGAGAUUUAAUUAUUUUUGCUUAUUGUGUUGUUCAUAAUUUAUUGGUGGUUAGUAUUUGUAGUGUGUUAAGUUGAUAAAUUUUGUGCUGCAUAAUGUAUAAACAGUGGGGUUGUACUGUACUGUGACUAUUUGUGGCUUGAAAUAUUAUCUGAUAUUGGAAAAAGCAUUUUAUUACUUUUUGAUUACUAUUUUUUUAUGAAUCAGUAGUUGAGCAUUAUAAAUAAAAGUUUAUAAUAGUUGUCAGUGAUUUAAAAUAUGGUCAAGACCUGUUGUAUAAUGCAGACAAAAGUGGACUUUUUGGAGACUUUGACCUAAAAAAAAAACAUUUGUGCAUAAUGCUGAAGUUAGUUCUCCAGGCCGAAAAGUUUCAAAAAAAAGAAUAACAUUUAUGCCAUGUGCUAACUUUUUUAUUUUAAGACUCUAUUGUACAUAUUUAAGGUAAGAAUUGAACAAUACAUUCUAUUAUAUAGUUUAAACAUGUUUUUCAAUUGAAAUCCAGUAAUCCGGCUUUUGGACUACUUACUGUAUUGAGAAUGCUACAGGAAGAAAGAGUUACAUUUCACAAUUCCGAAUUUAAUCAAAAAUGUUUAAUUUGUUACAUCAAAAGUGUGUCCAAACUCCGUCAGAUACAGUCCCAGUUACUACCUAAUU